rnacentral:rRNA from 1 species
AUUGAACGCUGGCGGCAUGCUUUACACAUGCAAGUCGAACGGCAGCGCGGGCUUCGGCCUGGCGGCGAGUGGCGAACGGGUGAGUAAUGCAUCGGAACGUGCCCAGUCGUGGGGGAUAGCCCGGCGAAAGCCGGAUUAAUACCGCAUACGACCUGAGGGUGAAAGCGGGGGACCGAAAGGCCUCGCGCUAUUGGAGCGGCCGAUGUCGGAUUAGCUAGUUGGUGGGGUAAAGGCUUACCAAGGCGACGAUCCGUAGCUGGUCUGAGAGGACGACCAGCCACACUGGGACUGAGACACGGCCCAGACUCCUACGGGAGGCAGCAGUGGGGAAUUUUGGACAAUGGGGGCAACCCUGAUCCAGCCAGGCCGCGUGCGGGAAGAAGGCCUUCGGGUUGUAAACCGCUUUUGUUCGGGAAGAAAUCCUCUGGGCUAAUACCCCGGGGGGAUGACGGUACCGGAAGAAUAAGCACCGGCUAACUACGUG